AAAUAAAAAAUAAAUAAAAUUUGAUAUUCCAAAAUUCUUAGUACUUUUAAUCAAAACUCUUCUAAUCAGCUUUCUCUAGUUUUUACAUUGAAUGCAGUCAACUUCAUGUGUCAAACGUAAUACCGACCAACGACAGAAGUUCAUUGAAAAACAAAAAAAGUGCGAAUCAAGGGAAAAGGUGACAAAUAGCGUUGAAAAUGUUUGAAACAAACACACAUGACCGAACAUAAAUACUACAGACUAUCA